AUCAGUGUUUGUCAGUUCUAAAGGUCUAUCCAUGUGUUUCCUAUGUGAUUGAAUUAUUAAAGACUGUGGUUUUGAAGAACUCCUUGUUUCCUCGUUCCUUGCUCCCCAAGCUAAUUGUGACAACUAUUUGUAUUGCCAGAAGUUUGCCAUCAAAUUUAUCCUGAAGAGGUCAGUGGACUUCCUUUUUGAAAUUGAAAGACGGUCUAAGAUGAAUGAUAGCGAUGGCAUUCAAGAUCACACCCCGCAUUCCACUGCCAUCUACCUCUCAGAACGAAUUCAACCCAAUAAAAACACAAAGUCCACCAAACCAAAAAAAUCCUCAGGCUUUGCUCUUGAUCCAUCAUCAGACCAGUUUCAAAGUCUUUCUCCAACACCAGAACACAGUGUGUCCUUGAUCUGUGAAUAUAAGAGAUGUGAAAAGUAAGACGCACGUGUUCACACAGGAUCAGACGAUCAGGAGGACCCCUGGGUGACAAAUAAUGACAGCAGAGUGAUGGUGACUUCAACAAGCAGGGCUUUGAAGCGCUGAGCUGCACAGGUCACAGAUCAGAGCGGUGGGAGGAAGGCCGUCUCUGUGUCAGUGAUGCAGCUAUGUGACCGUGAAGACUCCAUCUCCACUACAGGACUGUCCUCCGCCGCAGUGGUGGCCAUUAGUGUAUAAUGUUCUGGUAGCUCUGCACACAUUGGUUUUGAUACUUCUCUCCAGCCAGGGAGCGUCUGUAGACAACGCACAUCAAAGGAAUGAGCAGAGGUGCUUGAUGACGGCGUGAGAGAAAAAUUGGAGACGGAAUGCUGUUUAUAUUUUGUACCGCCUGCAGGAAUCAAUUGUAUACUGAGUGACAUGGUUUGUCAUGAAUUAAUAUUAUUUUGAAAACAUAAUUUCAGAAGUUUCUUUGCUGUUUAUAGAGGCCUGCAAAAGAAACCCUUGAGGACAAGGAGUGAGUUUGCUCAGCGUGGGAUGCUGGGACUGUUCCUAAGUUCUAUUAUACUGAGUGUUUUAGGUAAAGAGACUCUCAGUCGCCUCUUUAGAGUCAUUCAGUAGUUCCUGACCAUGUCAGUGAAACCCAAUACUUGCACCUUAACAGCUAGCAAUCAGUACUAUGCUAAUUAGCAGGUAAAAAAAAAUAAAAGGUGUAGUGCAAGAAAAGAACUGUGUCUGAAAGAGGGAUUUUAAUGUUUUAUUGUUG